AUUGAACGCUGGCGGCAGGCCUAACACAUGCAAGUCGAACGAGUGGCGGACGGGUGAGUAAUGUCUGGGAACCUGCCUGAUGGAGGGGGAUAACUACUGGAAACGGUCGCUAAUACCGCAUACCCUCAGAUGUGCCCAGAUGGGAUGAGCUGGUGGGUGGGGUAACGGCUCACCAAGGCGACGAUCCCUAGCUGGUCUGAGAGGAUGACCAGAAACACUGGAACUGAGACAAGGUCCAGACUCCUACGGGAGGCAGUAGUGGGGAAGAUUGCACAAUGGGCGCAAGCCUGAUACAGCCAUGCCGAGGGUAUGAAGAAGGCCUUCGGGUUGUAAAGUACUUUCAGCGGGGAGGCGUUACCCGCAGAAGAAGCACCGGCUAACUCCGUGCCAGCAGCCGCGGUAAUAC
rnacentral:rRNA from 1 species